UACGUAGGGUGCAAGCGUUGUCCGGAAUUAUUGGGCGUAAAGAGCUCGUAGGCGGUCUGUCGCGUCUGCUGUGAAAACUCAGGGCUUAACCCUGAGCUUGCAGUGGGUACGGGCAGACUAGAGUGCGGUAGGGGAGACUGGAAUUCCUGGUGUAGCGGUGAAAUGCGCAGAUAUCAGGAGGAACACCGGUGGCGAAGGCGGGUCUCUGGAACGGUACUGACGCUGAGGAGCGAAAGCGUGGGGAGCGAACAGG
rnacentral:rRNA from 1 species